GACGAACGCUGGCGGCGUGCUUAACACAUGCAAGUCGAACGGAAAGGCCCUGCUUUUGUGGGGUGCUCGAGUGGCGAACGGGUGAGUAACACGUGAGUAACCUGCCCUUGACUUUGGGAUAACUUCAGGAAACUGGGGCUAAUACCGGAUAGGAGCUCCUGCUGCAUGGUGGGGGUUGGAAAGUUUCGGCGGUUGGGGAUGGACUCGCGGCUUAUCAGCUUGUUGGUGGGGUAGUGGCUUACCAAGGCUUUGACGGGUAGCCGGCCUGAGAGGGUGACCGGCAACGUUGGGACUGAGAUACGGCCCAGACUCCUACGGGAGGCAGCAGUGGGGAAUAUUGCACAAUGGGCGGAAGCCUGAUGCAGCAACGCCGCGUGCGGGAUGACGGCCUUCGGGUUGUAAACCGCUUUCGCCUGUGACGAAGCGUGAGUGACGGUAAUGGGUAAAGAAGCACCGGCUAACUACGUG
rnacentral:rRNA from 1 species